GUCAAAGAUUUAUUGCUGAGAGAUGGCCUCGCGUCUGAUUAGCUAGUUGGUAGGGUAACGGCCUACCAAGGCGACGAUCAGUAGCCGGACUGAGAGGUUGACCGGCCACAUUGGGACUGAGAUACGGCCCAGACUCCUACGGGAGGCAGCAGUGGGGAAUAUUGGGCAAUGGGCGAAAGCCUGACCCAGCAACGCCGCGUGAAGGAAGAAGGCCUUCGGGUUGUAAACUUCUUUUACCAGGGACGAACACAAUGACGGUACCUGGAGAAAAAGCAACGGCUAACUACGUGCCAGCAGCCGCGGUAAUACGUAGGUUGCAAGCGUUGUCCGGAAUUACUGGGUGUAAAGGGCGUGUAGGCGGAGAUGCAAGUUGGGAGUGAAAUCCAUGGGCUCAACCCAUGAACUGCUUUCAAAACUGCAUCCCUUGAGUAUCGGAGAGGCAAGCGGAAUUCCUAGUGUAGCGGUGAAAUGCGUAGAUAUUAGGAGGAACACCAGUGGCGAAGGCGGCUUGCUGGACGACAACUGACGCUGAGGCGCGAAAGCGUGGGGAGCAAACAGGAUUAGAUACCCUGGUAGUCCACGCUGUAAACGAUGAAUACUAGGUGUGGGAGGACUGACCCCUUCCGUGCCGCAGUUAACACAAUAAGUAUUCCACCUGGGGAGUACGACCGCAAGGUUGAAACUCAAAGGAAUUGACGGGGGCCCGCACAAGCAGUGGAUUAUGUGGUUUAAUUCGACGCAACGCGAAGAACCUUACCAGGAUUUGACAUCCAACUAACGAAGUAGAGAUACAUUAGGUGCCCUUCGGGGAAAGUUGAGACAGGUGGUGCAUGGUUGUCGUCAGCUCGUGUCGUGAGAUGUUGGGUUAAGUCCCGCAACGAGCGCAACCCCUAUUGUUAGUUGCUACGCAAGAGCACUCUAGCGAGACUGCCGUUGACAAAACGGAGGAAGGCGGGGACGACGUCAAAUCAUCAUGCCCCUUAUGUCCUGGGCUACACACGUAAUACAAUGGCCGUCAACAAAGGGAAGCAAUACCGCGAGGUGGAGCAAACCCCCA
rnacentral:rRNA from 1 species